rnacentral:rRNA from 1 species
GAUCAUGGCUCAGGAUGAACGCUGGCGGCGUGCUUAACACAUGCAAGUCGAACGAAGCGCUUAAGAAUGAUUCUUCGGAUGAAUUCUUUUGUGACUUAGUGGCGGACGGGUGAGUAACGCGUGGGUAACCUGCCUCACACAGGGGGGAUAACAGUUGGAAACGACCGCUAAUACCGCAUAACCCGCUAGGGCCACAUGGCCCGGACGGAAAAGAUUUAUCGGUGUGAGAUGGACCCGCGUUGGAUUAG